AUUGAACGCUGGCGGCAGGCCUAACACAUGCAAGUCGAACGGUAACAGAAAGCAGCUUGCUGCUUUGCUGACGAGUGGCGGACGGGUGAGUCAUGUCUGGGACACUGCCUGAUGGAGGGGGAUAACUACUGGAAACGGUAGCUAAUACCGCAUAACGUCGCAAGACCAAAGAGGGGGACUUUCGGGCCUCUUGCCAUCGGCUGUGCCCAGAUGGGAUUAGCUAGUAGGUGGGGUAAAGGCUCACCUAGGCGACGAUCCCUAGCUGGUCUGAGAGGGUGACCAGCCACACUGGAACUGAGACACGGUCCAGACUCCUACGGGAGGCAGCAGUGGGGAAUAUUGCACAAUGGGCGCAAGCCUGAUGCAGCCAUGCCGCGUGUAUGAAGAAGGCCUUCGGGUUGUAAAGUACUUUUAGCGGGGAAGAAGAGAGUAGAGUUAAUACCUUCGCUCAUUGACGUUACCCGCAGAAGAAGCACCGGCUAACUCCGUG
rnacentral:rRNA from 1 species